rnacentral:rRNA from 1 species
CAAUAGCGUAUAUUAAAGUUGUUGCAGUUAAAAAGCUCGUAGUUGGAUUUCUGGUAGGAGCGACCGUGCCGACCUUGAUUGUUCGAGUAUUGUGUUGUCUUCAGCCAUCCUCGUGGAGAACUUUUCUAACAUUAACUUGUUGGGAUUGGGACCCGCGUCGUUUACUGUGAAAAAAUUAGAGUGUUUAAAGCAGGCAUUAGCUUGAAUACAUUAGCAUGGAAUAAUAAGAUAGGACUUUGGUACUAUUUUGUUGGUUUGCAUACCAAAUUAAUGAUCAACAGGAACAGUUUGAGGAUAUUCGUAUGAACAUGUCAGAGGUGAAAUUCUUGGAUUUUGAUCAGACGAACUACUGCGAAAGCAUUUAUCAAGGAUGUUUUCAUUAA